AUUGAACGCUGGCGGCAUGCUUUACACAUGCAAGUCGAACGGUAACAGCACUUCGGUGGCUGUCGAGUGGCGCACGGGUGCGUAAUACAUCGGAACGUGCCUAGUAGUGGGGGAUAACUACUCGAAAGAGUAGCUAAUACCGCAUGAGAUCUAAGGAUGAAAGCAGGGGACCUUCGGGCCUUGCGCUACUAGAGCGGUUGCUGGCAGAUUAGGUAGUUGGUGGGUUACAAGCUUACCAAGCCGACGAUCUGUAGCUGGUCUGAGAGGACGACCCGCCACACUGGGACUGAGACACGGCCCAGACUCCUACGGGAGGCAGCAGUAGGGAAUUUUGGACAAUGGGCGCAAGCCUGAUCGAGCAAUGCCGCGUGAAGGAUGAAGGCCUUCGGAUUGUAAACUUCUGUUGUACGGAACGAAAAACCGUCUUCGAAUACAGGAGCGUCAUGACGGUACCGUAAGAAUAAGCACCGGCUAACUACGUG
rnacentral:rRNA from 1 species